GGGGCUGUAGCUCAGUCGGUUAGAGCGCUGGCCUGUCACGUCAGAGGUCGCGGGUUCGAGCCCCGUCAGCCCCG
rnacentral:tRNA from 1 species